UUUCCAAAAAAUGUUAAAAACACUGGAAUAAAAACAAGACCAUGAAGAGCCCCAAACAAAAUAACAAGGAACAUGAUCUUGAAGAAUGUCCUAAAGAUGUAGGUGUUCGCUGCAGCCAGGACAACUACACCCAAUAUCGUAGAAACUGCACCUUGCAGAACUGGGUAACCUAGCAGGGACAGAGCUUCAAUUGCCCUUUUAUUGGCUGACGACUCUCCACUCGUAACAAAGGCAUAGGAAAUGUGAGCAGAGAAAUCUACUGAAAACCCAAUGCAAAUGACCAGGUUGAUCAUGGAUAUGGAAUCAAGGUUGACGUUCCAGAAGGUCAUGAAACCAGCAACGCCAACGAUAACAGAGGCUAUAGCAAAGGUCACCCACAAGCAGCACAGCGGGUUGGGAAUGAGCAGAAGGGAGACAACGAGCAUGGCCCCGGCAGCAACGACAACGUUCUGAACAGUGUUCUGCACUAUCACCAGGAAGCAAUCAUGAUGAACAUGUCAUCAACGCCAACCCCUGCAAGAGGAGAGACUGUUAACGCUGCACUGCAAAUGGCAGCUUCCACCAACACUAACGAAACUACAACAUUAAUCACAUUUCAUUCUGCAUAAAAUCUGAAAAAGGAAGUUGGGCUUCUAACACUGCUCAAGUGCUGAUGAAAGUUACAAGAGAAUCUGGAAAACAGAUCCUUUGUGUGUGGCUGAAUUCAUUACCUUUUAGCACCUCCUGGUGACCUGAUGAGUUGUUGAUCCCUCAGCGACUCUGCUGAAGGACUGAGCACACCCUACUGCAUCUCUGAUAAGUGUCUUGUAGUUGAUGUCCGUGUGUCCCCUGAUGCAGAUGACACAGAUUUCAAAGCACCACAUAUUCUGAUGCUCUACUAAUCUUACCACUGAAAUCAUCCCCCAUUACCUCUGGAAUCUCUUCUUCAGCACUGCAGCAACUUGGACCAAUAAUGUCUUGUUCUGCCUUCAGAAGGCAGGAAGAGCAGUUGCUACCACAUGGGACAAGAGUGAUAUUCCAGUUUUCCAGUGGCUUACUUUUUUAAUGCUCUUUGCCCUCCACUUCUCUCCAGUUUAUCUUCCAGCACUUAUUCAUGAUUUAUUAUUAAUUUCUGUUCACCUUUAUACUAAUGUGCUCACACAUAUUACCUGACAGGUCCCUGGGAAAACCUGCCAGGAAGACUGGAUCCUGGGUUUGGGUUUUUGCUAAGAUGCCAGAGUAAGUGAGCUGAAGUUCAAAAAUGAAGAGCCAAUGGGCUUCUCUCACCUCUGCUAACUCUCAAGAUUAUUAUCUCACACCUUUCAGUAUUUUGCCAUGUUGUCAAGGGCUCUUCUAUUCACUGAAAAUUAACACACAGAAGGAAAGCAAGGCUGCGCAAAUGGCAGAGUGAGAUUUAGCCAAGCACAGAAGAAGAGAGGAAAGUAUUACCUGCUACCUGAAAAGGCAGUUGCCAGUAAACAUGCAAAGAUGAAUUAGGCAGCACAUCAAAAGGUACUAAAGGAUGGCAGUGAGCCAGUCUGCUCCAGAAAGCAAGCAGCCUUCAAACAAAUCCUCUGAUGUACUGAGAAUUUGUUUGCUUUAAUGCAAGGAAGACAGAAGUCUGCGUGUUAUUGCUGAAGAUCUGAAGUGACUGGCUUAAGCCCUUUCCCAGUCUUCCUGCUGUAGCAGUGGAUCUAGAUCAGACCUUGUCUUCUGGGGAAAGCUGCCCUUGCACCAGAACCCAUCUCCAGUCCCACUGUGGCACACUGAGCUGAGCUGAGGGGUUUGCCCAUCUGCAGGUGCUCUGAGAGGGCUGCACCUCUGGGUAUCUCCUACACUCACUUCAGGACAAAGUGUUGUAUCAUCUGACAUUCAUAUCAUAAAAGACUGACACCAUCAGGUUGUUUUAACUUCACUCUGGUCUUUGUAUCUGAAUACAAUUCACUUUUUCUACUUACCCAGAA